rnacentral:rRNA from 1 species
CCCUUAGAUGUUCUGGACCGCACGCGUGCUACACUGAGUAAAUCAAUGGGUAAGGGAACACGAAAGUGCAACCUAAUCUUGAAAUUUGCUCGUGAUGGGGAUCGACGGUUGCAAUUUUCCGUCGUGAACGAGGAAUACCUUGUAGGCGCGUGUCAUCAUCACGCGCCGAAUACGUCCCUGCCCUUUGUACACACCGCCCGUCGCUCCUACCGAUUGAGUGAUCCGGUGAGGCUCUGGGACCUGGACGGAAAGAGCGUUUCGCUUGUUCUGUUUGGGAAACUUGGUCGAACCUUAUCAUUUAGAGGAAGGAGAAGUCGUAACA